GUUUGCAAAAACAUAAAAAGGUUUUUCAAUACGCAAAGAAACUAUGUAGUGAUGUGUAAUAACCUUUGAUUUCAUUGAUAGCAUUAAAUGCUGAAUUCAAUAGUGAGCUAUCGAGAUUAAAAAUAGGCGUAAUAAUAGAUUGUGGUUAAUAUCAUAUCUAUCCUUUUGAAGUAUUCAGCAGAAUUUUUAGAAGCAGCAGAAGUUAACACUUAGGGAGAAAGGAAAAUAACGUAGUCGGUGGGCAUUGUCACAUGCUUGCUUCAUAAAUAUUAUGGUUUGAGAUUGUACGAAGAAGAGUAAAAUGAUGUUCAUUUUUCACUUCUCUAUAUUGAUACCAGAAAAUAGAAAUGUUUCUCAUGUAUUUCUAUUUCGAGUAAUCUUGCUCACUUAAUCAGCAAUAUAUUUUUAAUUUAAUUUUGAUACAAAAAAAAUUACGUUUUUAACACAGGGCUCGAAAAUUAUUAGAACAAAAACUAAGGACGUAGGAGAGGAGGGUGAGAAGUUAAGUGCCAUUCAAGUUUCGUCCCUUCAUGAUGAUGACUGUACGACGCUGAAACCAAGCAAAACAGGAAUAAGGAUUAUCUCUCACCUUUCUAUAAUCUUCAUCAAAAGUAAGGACAGAAAAUGUUUGGCCUAAAGAUCCUGUUAUCAAAGAUAUAGCACCAGCAGAUCCUCCUAGAAUGAAAUGUCAUUUCUUAAUUCAAGAUAUUAUUGGAAAAAUUAGUACGAUUUCAGUGCUAACCUUUGAAUAGUUUACUAAGUAGGUAAAGCAGUCUUUUAAUAUAGAUGUUUCGAUACAUUUAAAAUAUUUUCUUAAGUUCACGAACGUAUUUUUCCACAAUGCCCUUAAAUUGUUGAAAUAAGUUUUAUUUUAAUACACACAGUA